GAAGGUCGCGGCGCGCCGCAGCGUAUUUCAACGCUCGCACCCUCAUCGUCUCGUACGAGUUUUUGACGCGAGUGAGUGUUUCGAGAGAACCGAAAAUGAAGUGAAAUGUCGGGCGUUCGUGCCAACAUCCGUCGUCGUCGUGUCGGAUACGAUGCAUGGUGCGAAGUCGUGUCGCGUUUAAUCGUGUUUCGCAUCUUGUUCGUUGCCUCGUAUUCCGAGUUUCCGAUGCGUGUGAGUACCGGGAGUACCAGAAAGUACCGAAAACGAAGGGUCGCACGUUCAUCUUUAAUCUUCAAUCUUCAAUUUUCAAUGCGUAGUCUGAUACGGGCUUAAGGAGGAUCUUGGAUCUCAAACGUUCGAGAGCUGCAAUCGUCGUACAAAGCUGGACGGAUUUGAGCUACCAACGGCGAACGAUAGCUGGCUAGGAGACAAUUCUUACGACACAACACCAAUUGGUUAACCGAUCAUAGUUAACGUAAUGGCUGGAGACACAUAUUUUUUGCGCAGCACAUAAAAUCGACCAAUCG